GCGGGGCUGCAGGGGUGGGACUUCCUGUCGGGGAGAUUUCUCGCUCUCAGGAAGAACCCGGGCACAGAUUCCGCCGGUAACCUAGUGAGUCUGACGGACCCCAAGUUGAGAAGAUGGCUGAUCCUUGGCAGGAAUGCAUGGAUUAUGCAGUAACCCUAGCAAGAGAAGCUGGAGAGGUGGUUCGUGAAGCUAUAAAAAGUGAAAUGAAUGUCAUGAUUAAAAGUUCUCCAGCUGAUUUGGUAACUGCUACUGACCAAAAAAUUGAGAAAAUGCUUAUAUCUGCCAUAAAGGAAAAGUAUCCAUCUCACAGUUUCAUUGGUGAGGAAUCUGUGGCAGCUGGGGAAAAAAGUGUCUUAACUGACAGCCCUACAUGGAUCAUUGACCCUAUUGAUGGAACAACGAAUUUUGUACAUAGGUUUCCUUUUGUAGCUGUUUCGAUUGGCUUUACUGUAAAUAAAAAGAUGGAAUUUGGAGUUGUAUACAGUUGCCUGGAGGAUAAGAUGUAUACUGGCAGGAAAGGAAAGGGAGCCUUUUGUAAUGGUCAAAAACUACAGGUUUCACAACAGGAAGAUAUUACCAAAUCACUUUUGGUGACAGAGUUUGGCUCUUCCAGAACACCAGAGACUGUAAGAAUUGUUCUUUCUAAUCUGGAAAAGCUUUUGUGCAUUCCUAUUCAUGGGAUCCGAGGUGUUGGGACAGCAGCUGUUAAUAUGUGCCUUGUGGCAACUGGAGUUGCAGAUGCAUAUUAUGAAAUGGGAAUUCACUGCUGGGAUAUGGCAGGAGCUGGCAUUAUUGUUACUGAAGCUGGUGGAGUACUAAUGGAUGUGACAGUGAAGAGUGAACCUGGGCCGAAAGAUAUUCACUUGUGAUCUGGGAGAAAGGCAAUGAAGAAAUAAGGAAAUGGGAAGGAGAGAUACGAAAAUGCUGUGCUGUGGAGUCAAAUUUCCUGUCCAUAGAUUCCCAAGCAUGAAAGAGGUGGGCCAUUUGACUUGAUGUCACGAAGAAUAAUUGCUGCAAAUAGUAAAACAUUAGCAGAAAGGAUAGCCAAAGAAAUUCAGGUGAUACCACUUCAAAGAGACGAUGAAGAGUAAUUGCAACAGCCCCACAUAUUCAAUCACAGCUGCAUUUCCCCAUAUUUGCUGACACACUGAUGGUGUUAUAAAAUUUAGGACAUUUAUUUCAGAUGUAUAAUAUGGUUGGUUUAAAUUGUCUUUGAUAUCCAGAUUAAAAAAUUACAGUGUUGUAUAUUUUACUAAGAUAGGGUAUGAAAGAAGAGCUGAAAUAUUUCAUUGUUUUAAAAAUUCUGCGUGUAAGAGUAUACUUUGGGGAAAAACAGGUAGUUGAGACAAGGUAUCAAUCACAUCAACUGAAAUAGUUUCUAAGUGUAUAUGAGCCUCUGAAAUUUUGACUGUACAUUAAGCAUUCUUAAUUAGGUAACUUUUUGGAAAAAAUUUUCUUUAGUUCCCAAAGCCAUAUUUAAUUAAAUUUGUAAGUAUAUAAUGGGUACUUCCUAGACCAAGGUUUUUUUCUUUUCAGAGAACCUAGUUUUAUUCUACACACAGCAUCUGUCAAAUAUGGGCAAUUCAAAAACAAGCAUUGAGAGAAUAAAUAUUUUGGAGGUAGCAAUUCCUAGUUAUAACAUAUAUAAAGUAAUGAGCUCACCACCCUUUAUUUUUACUUUAGGUUUUGAAGUAAAAAUGAUCUCAUCAUCGUUUUCAUAUUUUACAUUAUCAUUCCUUUUAACAUUUCACAUUGCCACACCAUUUCAAUUACCGUAUUGCCAGAUACCAUUUCUAAUUGUGGGCAUUUCUGCAGUUAAUAUAUUUUCCAAGACCCUGCAUUACAGUAUUUGUUUGGAUUCUCUUAAAGACCCUAUGUAAAAAAGGGGUUUCAAAAAAGCAUUCUCAUCAGGUAUCUACUUUUCUACUAUAGUACAAUAAAAUUGUACUAAAUUCAAUAUUCAUGUUUUAAAGAUCUUCAUAUUAACCUGGUUGUGCACAGGAAACCUAGAACCUGGCAGAUAUACUGUACUAUUAAUACUAAACUUUGUUUUUUCCCCCAAACUCCUUAAUUUCUUUGCCACCAGUACUCAGUCUUAAAAUAUUCCUUAAUAGUCUUUGGCUUAUGAAACUCAAAGAAAACUGUUCUAGUUCAUAGAUAUUUUAAAAGGUUAAUUGACUGCUUCGCCUUGUCCCUGGGCACUUGAACAGAGUAUUAAGUUUUGUUAUGGUCUCAUGUGAGCCUUAUAUUUGAUAGAAUGAAAAGUGCAUCUAUAAAGUAGGAGGUUAUUUUAUUGUGCACAUCUAAUAUAUUUAAAAAUAUACUAAGAUUUGAGUAUUGUAUUUGUACUGUUGGUCAUGUGCAGUAAAAAUAACUUGUACUAUAUUCCUCUAUGGUUAAUUUUUCAAUUAAAAUUUAUUUUAAUUAAGACUAAUGAAUAAAAUUUUAAAUAAGUAUGAUUGAACAUUGUUAAAGUUUAUAAUUUAAAGUACUUCUAGGGGUUUUGUGUUGAGUUGUAUAUAUUUGACAUCUGCGGUUGUGAUUGAAUAUAUGUUCUUGGGGGGGUUUUUUGCCAGUUUUCCCAGCUUUUCUGAAAGACUUGAUUUUUUUAUUCUAAAUGCAACUAGGUAAUUUGUGGCUGAAAUUUCUUUGGACAUUGAAAAAGGAUUGACAAGUGAGUUAUCCAAUAAUAGUUUGAAAAUUUGAGUAACAGAAGUCCAUCUCUCCAACUCUUAGCAGUUUCUUCUAGUCUUUACAUCCAUCUUUUUAAAGAUGGAUAUAUUCUGUUACAUAUUUAUUGGCUUUAUUCAUUAUCUGUUAACUUGCUGUUAUAGAAGAUGAGGAUUUUGUACUUUUAACUCACCCAUGAGUUACCUUUACCUCUUCCUUUUCAUCCUCCUAGUAUAGUAAUAUCUUUCUUGUUAAAUUUAUAUUCAGUGUUUAACUUAGGACUUUUAUUCACUGGUUAACUAGUAUGUUAUGAUUAUAUUUUCUUUCCUGUGCAACUUUUGUUCUUCUUGAAAUUAACACAUUUUCCCCAGGAUUGUAAAACCUCUUUAUUUUCUACUUGUCUAACCCUAAUCAGGUAUUCUGUUCUAUUAGCACUGUUUUCUUUUCCUCCUAUAGGUAGACUUUUUGGUGCCCUUUUCCUUUUCUUCCAGUGUGAAUUGGUUACUGGCUAAGUGUGCUGCGUAGCAGUCCUCCUGGAGCUUCUCUUACAUUCAGUCAUCUGUGUCCUUGAUCUUCCUGCUCAUUCCCUCAUUUUGGUGAGCCCCUCUUCCAGGUACUUAGAGGUAAAAUUUUGAAAUCUCACAAGAAAAUGUCUAUUCCUUCAUUAAUAGUUUGGCUAGUUCUAGAAUGCUAGCUUGAAAACAGUUUUCCCUCAGAAUUUAGGAUGAGAAGUCUUUUAAUUUUCAAUCCAUUAAGUCUUUUAUUGAAGAUUUUAGAAAACUCCAGAAAUCAAAAGAAAAUCCUAAAUUUCCUGGUGAUAAGAUGUCUUUUUUUUUCCCCCCAAUCCAUUGUGCUAAUUCUCAUCCUUUCAUUCUGGAAAGUUCAAGUCCUUUAGUGUUUUCUUUUAUAGUUUCCUCCCUUCCUCAUUCUCUGUCCUCUCUUCCUGGAAUUUUUCUUAUUCAGGUGUUGGACCUCCUAGAUUUAUCCUCUUAUUUCUUCUGUUUAACAUCUCUUUCCAUUUGUUUAUAAGGGACUUCCUUAACUUUAUCUUCCAACCCUUUUAUUCACUUUUUUAAUGUUAUGCUAUCCCUUGAUUCUAUCCCUGGCAUUAUUCCUUGAAGGUUCUUCACUUUCCAAGGUUUUUUGUUAUGAAAAUAAUAUUAAAAUUUGUGGGUACAGGUCAAGCACUGCCUACAGGGAAAUCUAUAGCCUUAAACGCAAGGUACAAAAUAAAACAACAAAAAAACCCAAACAAACAGUACAAGGAUUGAUUGGAGAAAUAAAACUAAUUCACUGAUUCCCCA